UUUGUCUGUUUGUUUCUUUAUGCACUCCUGGUAACUCACAGAACAGAAAAGAGGUUGGUGAUGCUCACUGGGAAUUAGGCAAUGAAGGGCAGGGGACUGCCCAGGGGCGCUUCGCCACCAGCAGGCUAAAAAGAUAAGAAAAUGGGCUUGAGGCGGGAGGAGGAUAAAGUCCCACAGCCUGGACAGGACUUGGAGAAGGCAUCCCAUUGGAUCCCCUGCUUUGGAAUGGGCAUCGUUUAAAUAGUAAAAUCUCCCUGUGAUAUAGGGGUGUUAUUUUCUCCCAUCCUCUUCCAAAAUCCCAGUGCCUCUUGUUCCCUUCCCCACAGCUCCCACCUCCAUGCCCUUCAUAUGCCCACCCCAGCCGACCUCUGUUUGCCCCUACAGGUGAACACCAUCCCAGCAUCCUUCCACGACGGGCUCCUGCUCUAUAUCCAGGCAGUGACGGAGACUCUGGCACAUGGGGGAACUGUUAC
rnacentral:lncRNA from 10 species